GCAGUCGAGCGGUAAGGCCUUUCGGGGUACACGAGCGGCGAACGGGUGAGUAACACGUGGGUGAUCUGCCCUGCACUUCGGGAUAAGCCUGGGAAACUGGGUCUAAUACCGGAUAUGACCUCCUAUCGCAUGGUGGGUGGUGGAAAGAUUUAUCGGUGCAGGAUGGGCCCGCGGCCUAUCAGCUUGUUGGUGGGGUAAUGGCCUACCAAGGCGACGACGGGUAGCCGACCUGAGAGGGUGACCGGCCACACUGGGACUGAGACACGGCCCAGACUCCUACGGGAGGCAGCAGUGGGGAAUAUUGCACAAUGGGCGAAAGCCUGAUGCAGCGACGCCGCGUGAGGGAUGACGGCCUUCGGGUUGUAAACCUCUUUCAGCAGGGACGAAGCGCAAGUGACGGUACCUGCAGAAGAAGCACCGG
rnacentral:rRNA from 1 species